UGGGCUAUCCGCAGACCGUUUGCUCUC
rnacentral:piRNA from 1 species